rnacentral:rRNA from 1 species
UACGUAGGGUGCGAGCGUUAAUCGGAUUUACUGGGCGUAAAGCGUGCGCAGGCGGCCCGUUAAGACAGGUGUGAAAUCCCUGGGCUCAACCUAGGAAUUGCGCUUGUGACUGGCGGGCUCGAGUACGGUAGAGGGGGGUGGAAUUCCUGGUGUAGCGGUGAAAUGCGUAGAGAUCUGGAGGAAUACCGAUGGCGAAGGCAGCCCCCUGGGCCUGUACUGACGCUCAUGCACGAAAGCGUGGGGAGCAAACAGG